rnacentral:tRNA from 1 species
GGGGUUGUGGCUUAAGCGGUAGAGUGCUCACUUAGCAUGCGUGAGGCACUGGGUUAGAUCCUCAGCACCACA